GACAGAGGUCCCGAGCGUUAGGCGGAAUCACUGGGCUUAAAGCGUGUGUAGGCGGAUCUGUAAGUACCUUGUGAAAUCCCACGGCUCAACCGUGGAACUGCUUGGUAUACUGCGGGUCUUGAGCCACUUAGGGGCGACCGGAACAGACGGUGGAGCGGUGAAAUGCGUAGAUAUCGUCUGGAACGCCAAUGGUGAAAACAGGUCGCUGGGAGUGUGCUGACGCUGAGGCACGAAAGCGUGGGGAGCAAACAGG
rnacentral:rRNA from 1 species